rnacentral:pre_miRNA from 1 species
CGUAUACUCCCUCCGUUCAGAAUUACUUGUCGCGAAAAUGGAUGUAUCUAGAUGUAUUUUAGUUCUAGAUACAUCCAUUUCCGAGACAAGUAAUUCCGAACGGAGGGAGUGGUUC